CCUACGGGUGGCAGCAGUGAGGAAUAUUGGUCAAUGGGCGGGAGCCUGAACCAGCCAAGUCGCGUGAGGGAAGACGGUCCUAUGGAUUGUAAACCUCUUUAGGCGGGGAGCAAUGCCGGGCACGCGUGCCCGGAGGGAGAGUACCCGCAGAAUAAGCAUCGGCUAACUCCGUGCCAGCAGCCGCGGUAAUACGGAGGAUGCGAGCGUUAUCCGGAUUUAUGGGGUUUAAAGGGUGCGUAGGCGGAAUGCCAAGUCAGCGGUAAAAUCGCGGGGCUCAACCGCGCUCCGCCGUUGAAACUGGCGGUCUUGAGUGGGGGGGAGGUAAGCGGAAUGCGUGGUGUAGCGGUGAAAUGCAUAGAUAUCACGAAGAACUCCGAUUGCGAAGGCAGCUUACCGGCGCCCAACUGACGCUGAAGCACGAAAGCGUGGGUAUCGAACAGGAUUAGAUACCCGGGUAGUC
rnacentral:rRNA from 1 species